rnacentral:rRNA from 1 species
GGGUAACCUGCCCAAGAGAUCGGGAUACACCUGGAAACAGAUGCUAAUACCGGAUAACAACAGAUGAUGCCUAUCAACUGUUUAAAAGAUGGUUCUGCUAUCACUCUUGGAUGGACCUGCGGUGCAUUAGCUAGUUGGUAGGGUAACGGCCUACCAAGGCGAUGAUGCAUAGCCGAGUUGAGAGACUGAUCGGCCACAUUGGGACUGAGACACGGCCCAAACUCCUACGGGAGGCAGCAGCC